GUCAUCGGACCGCAUGGUCCGAGGAUGAAAGGCGCUUCGGCGUCGCCUGGGGAUGGCUUUGCGGUGCAUUAGCUAGUUGGUGGGGUAAUGGCCCACCAAGGCGACGAUGCAUAGCCGACCUGAGAGGGUGAUCGGCCACACUGGGACUGAGACACGGCCCAGACUCCUACGGGAGGCAGCAGUAGGGAAUCUUCCACAAUGGACGAAAGUCUGAUGGAGCAACGCCGCGUGAACGAUGAAGGCCUUCGGGUCGUAAAGUUCUGUUGUAAGGGAAGAACAAGUGCCGCAGGCAAUGGCGGCACCUUGACGGUACCUUGCGAGAAAGCCACGGCUAACUACGUGCCAGCAGCCGCGGUAAUACGUAGGUGGCAAGCGUUGUCCGGAAUUAUUGGGCGUAAAGCGCGCGCAGGCGGCCUCUUAAGUCUGAUGUGAAAGCCCCCGGCUCAACCGGGGAGGGCCAUUGGAAACUGGGAGGCUUGAGUAUAGGAGAGAAGAGUGGAAUUCCACGUGUAGCGGUGAAAUGCGUAGAGAUGUGGAGGAACACCAGUGGCGAAGGCGAC
rnacentral:rRNA from 1 species